AAAGCCUUCAAGGGGAGCCUUCCGGCUGAGAGUGAACGGAUAUGUUCUGACCCUUCGAACCUGUCAGUUAAUACUGGCGUAGGGAUGGCGGCUUUUUUGAUG
rnacentral:ncRNA from 1 species